UUGUGUAUAUCCCAUUGGCAUACGUGGGCAAGGGGCGGGGUCUAUUUUCCGUGUCAUGGCUCCUCCCUGUAGACUUCAAGAAGUUCCAUAUCCGGAAGUGGGCCCCGUAGACUUUCGUUUGACUGUCGACACCUUUCUCGCUGUGUCAUAUUCACUCAUCAUUGACUGAUGACCCCUGAACAGAUUUCCGGCCCUUCUUCAUACACCUUGUCUUCCACCUUCACAGUCAUGGCACAACACUCAGGAGUGCUGUGAGUUGCAUGACACCUGCAGAGGCUCCAUACUACAGACUACUACUACUCGGUACUACAGAAACCGGAUCACUUGACAAGCCUGUGUCCUGUUUUGGCCUUCCACACUCUGUAGGAUUGCAUAGGCUCCAUUUCUUCUCCCACAUCACCAUUCCAAAACAACUCCAGAUGUUUCGUUUGUAUUAUGGCCAGUUUCUUUACAUCUGUUACACUACCUGUGUUUUGCACCCAAAACUGGACUGCUCUAUCUGUUUCUUGUUUUUUAUCAUUAUCACUUGCAUUGCUGUAAAUAUGUUCCAUUAGCUCAGUUUUGCAACUAUGAAGUGUACAGUUUUGUUGUUGUAUUACUGUUACGCUGAGCAAAAAGAAACCUCAAACCUUA